UACGAAGGGGGCAAGCGUUGUUCGGAAUUACUGGGCGUAAAGGGCGCGCAGGCGGUUCAGCAAGUCAGAUGUGAAAGCCCCGGGCUCAACCUGGGAAUUGCAUUUGGGACUGUUGGACUAGAGUUCGGGAGAGGAGAGUGGAAUUCCCAGUGUAGAGGUGAAAUUCGUAGAUAUUGGGAAGAACACCAGUGGCGAAGGCGGCUCUCUGGACCGAUACUGACGCUGAGGCGCGAAAGCGUGGGGAGCAAACAGG
rnacentral:rRNA from 1 species